rnacentral:rRNA from 1 species
CCUACGGGUGGCAGCAGUGGGGAAUAUUGGACAAUGGGGGCAACCCUGAUCCAGCCAUGCCGCGUGUGUGAAGAAGGCCCUCGGGUUGUAAAGCACUUUCAGUGAGGAAGAACGCCUGGUGGUUAAUACCCAUCAGGAAAGACAUCACUCACAGAAGAAGCACCGGCUAACUCCGUGCCAGCAGCCGCGGUAAUACGGAGGGUGCGAGCGUUAAUCGGAAUUACUGGGCGUAAAGCGCGCGUAGGUGGCUUGAUAAGUCGGUUGUGAAAGCCCCGGGCUCAACCUGGGAACGGCAUCCGGAACUGUCAAGCUAGAGUGCAGGAGAGGAAGGUAGAAUUCCCGGUGUAGCGGUGAAAUGCGUAGAGAUCGGGAGGAAUACCAGUGGCGAAGGCGGCCUUCUGGACUGACACUGACACUGAGGUGCGAAAGCGUGGGUAGCAAACAGGAUUAGAUACCCCAGUAGUC